GACAGAGGCCUCGAGCGUUAGGCGGAAUCACUGGGCUUAAAGCGUGUGUAGGCGGGCCCGUAAGUGUCUUGUGAAAUCCCACGGCUCAACCGUGGAACUGCUGGGCAUACUGCGGGUCUUGGGCCAACUAGGGGCAGCCGGAACAAGCGGUGGAGCGGUGAAAUGCGUAGAUAUCGCUUGGAACGCCGAAGGUGAAAACAGGUUGCUGGGGGUGUGCUGACGCUGAGACACGAAAGCCAGGGGAGCGAACGGG
rnacentral:rRNA from 1 species